rnacentral:lncRNA from 1 species
GCUUCCUUAGAAGUUGGUGACAUUUUCCCGAAGAAGUCACUGUGAAACUAAAGAAAGUAGAACAAAGCCAGUGAAGCUGAAGCUGUUUGCACCUCAGGACCAGAAGACCAAUCAACAUGUUGUAAAGAGAGAACUCAGAAAAUUGAUCUGUCUCAUAAGAAAAGCAGUGAAGUCCAUGAGAAUGAAGCUGACAUGGGAAGAAGAAUCAGAAAUGAUGAAAGGGAAUCCUUAUGGUUUUGCUGGUGGAUAAAGAAGGUAAAACAAGACAGAAUUCUACCAGUUGACAAAAGUUGAAAUUAUACAAAGAAACUUGCAAGAAGCACAAGAAAAAAGACCUAUAUUAUGAUUUUCACUUGAAGUGAAGUAAAUGGAGGGGCUGGGAAAUAGAUGCCAGGCACCCCUCUCCAACGUGGGUAUGCCUGGCUGAGUCCCUGAGACUGCAGAGUGGCAGUGUUGAGUGACCACCAUGUAUUCAGCGAGGAGUGAAUGCCAGAAUAUGCUCUAAGGAAAAGUGCAGAUAAUAAACUUAAAAAGACAACUUAUCAAAAUUGGUAGUUUCUCAAGGAGUUGGGGGUCACCAGGUGAGUAGUGAGG